rnacentral:rRNA from 1 species
UACGGGGGGGAGCAAGCGUUGUUCGGAUUUACUGGGCGUAAAGGGCGCGUAGGCGGCGCAACAAGUCACUUGUGAAAUCUCCGGGCUUAACUCGGAACGGUCAAGUGAUACUGUCGGACUAGAGUACAGAAGGGGCAACUGGAAUUCUCGGUGUAGCGGUGAAAUGCGUAGAUAUCGAGAGGAACACCUGCGGCGAAGGCGGGUUGCUGGGCUGAUACUGACGCUCAUGCACGAAAGCGUGGGGAGCAAACAGG